rnacentral:rRNA from 1 species
UUAAGCGACUAAGCGUACACGGUGGAUGCCCUGGCAGUCAGAGGCGAUGAAGGACGUGCUAAUCUGCGAUAAGCGUCGGUAAGGUGAUAUGAACCGUUAUAACCGGCGAUUUCCGAAUGGGGAAACCCAGUGUGUUUCGACACACUAUCAUUAACUGAAUCCAUAGGUUAAUGAGGCGAACCGGGAGAACUGAAACAUCUAAGUACCCCGAGGAAAAGAAAUCAACCGAGAUUCCCCCAGUAGCGGCGAGCGAACGGGGAGCAGCCCAGAGCCUGAAUCAGUGUGUGUGUUAGUGGAAGCGUCUGGAAAGGCGCGCGAUACAGGGUGACAGCCCCGUACACAAAAAUGCACAUGCUGUGAGCUCGAUGAGUAGGGCGGGACACGUGGUAUCCUGUCUGAAUAUGGGGGGACCAUCCUCCAAGGCUAAAUACUCCUGACUGACCGAUAGUGAACCAGUACCGUGAGGGAAAGGCGAAAAGAACCCCGGCGAGGGGAGUGAAAAAGAACCUGAAACCGUGUACGUACAAGCAGUGGGAGCCUCUUUAUGGGGUGACUGCGUACCUUUUGUAUAAUGGGUCAGCGACUUAUAUUCUGUAGCAAGGUUAACCGAAUAGGGGAGCCGAAGGGAAACCGAGUCUUAACUGGGCGUUAAGUUGCAGGGUAUAGACCCGAAACCCGGUGAUCUAGCCAUGGGCAGGUUGAAGGUUGGGUAACACUAACUGGAGGACCGAACCGACUAAUGUUGAAAAAUUAGCGGAUGACUUGUGGCUGGGGGUGAAAGGCCAAUCAAACCGGGAGAUAGCUGGUUCUCCCCGAAAGCUAUUUAGGUAGCGCCUCGUGAAUUCAUCUCCGGGGGUAGAGCACUGUUUCGGCAAGGGGGUCAUCCCGACUUACCAACCCGAUGCAAACUGCGAAUACCGGAGAAUGUUAUCACGGGAGACACACGGCGGGUGCUAACGUCCGUCGUGAAGAGGGAAACAACCCAGACCGCCAGCUAAGGUCCCAAAGUCAUGGUUAAGUGGGAAACGAUGUGGGAAGGCCCAGACAGCCAGGAUGUUGGCUUAGAAGCAGCCAUCAUUUAAAGAAAGCGUAAUAGCUCACUGGUCGAGUCGGCCUGCGCGGAAGAUGUAACGGGGCUAAACCAUGCACCGAAGCUGCGGCAGCGACGCUUAUGCGUUGUUGGGUAGGGGAGCGUUCUGUAAGCCUGUGAAGGUGUGCUGUGAGGCAUGCUGGAGGUAUCAGAAGUGCGAAUGCUGACAUAAGUAACGAUAAAGCGGGUGAAAAGCCCGCUCGCCGGAAGACCAAGGGUUCCUGUCCAACGUUAAUCGGGGCAGGGUGAGUCGACCCCUAAGGCGAGGCCGAAAGGCGUAGUCGAUGGGAAACAGGUUAAUAUUCCUGUACUUGGUGUUACUGCGAAGGGGGGACGGAGAAGGCUAUGUUGGCCGGGCGACGGUUGUCCCGGUUUAAGCGUGUAGGCUGAUUUUCCAGGCAAAUCCGGAAAAUCAAGGCUGAGGCGUGAUGACGAGGCACUACGGUGCUGAAGCAACAAAUGCCCUGCUUCCAGGAAAAGCCCCUAAGCAUCAGGUAACAUCAAAUCGUACCCCAAACCGACACAGGUGGUCAGGUAGAGAAUACCAAGGCGCUUGAGAGAACUCGGGUGAAGGAACUAGGCAAAAUGGUGCCGUAACUUCGGGAGAAGGCACGCUGAUAUGUAGGUGAAGUCCCUCGCGGAUGGAGCUGAAAUCAGUCGAAGAUACCAGCUGGCUGCAACUGUUUAUUAAAAACACAGCACUGUGCAAACACGAAAGUGGACGUAUACGGUGUGACGCCUGCCCGGUGCCGGAAGGUUAAUUGAUGGGGUCAGCGCAAGCGAAGCUCUUGAUCGAAGCCCCGGUAAACGGCGGCCGUAACUAUAACGGUCCUAAGGUAGCGAAAUUCCUUGUCGGGUAAGUUCCGACCUGCACGAAUGGCGUAAUGAUGGCCAGGCUGUCUCCACCCGAGACUCAGUGAAAUUGAACUCGCUGUGAAGAUGCAGUGUACCCGCGGCAAGACGGAAAGACCCCGUGAACCUUUACUAUAGCUUGACACUGAACAUUGAGCCUUGAUGUGUAGGAUAGGUGGGAGGCUUUGAAGUGUGGACGCCAGUCUGCAUGGAGCCGGCCUUGAAAUACCACCCUUUAAUGUUUGAUGUUCUAACGUGGACCCGUAAUCCGGGUUGCGGACAGUGUCUGGUGGGUAGUUUGACUGGGGCGGUCUCCUCCUAAAGAGUAACGGAGGAGCACGAAGGUUGGCUAAUCCUGGUCGGACAUCAGGAGGUUAGUGCAAUGGCAUAAGCCAGCUUGACUGCGAGCGUGACGGCGCGAGCAGGUGCGAAAGCAGGUCAUAGUGAUCCGGUGGUUCUGAAUGGAAGGGCCAUCGCUCAACGGAUAAAAGGUACUCCGGGGAUAACAGGCUGAUACCGCCCAAGAGUUCAUAUCGACGGCGGUGUUUGGCACCUCGAUGUCGGCUCAUCACAUCCUGGGGCUGAAGUAGGUCCCAAGGGUAUGGCUGUUCGCCAUUUAAAGUGGUACGCGAGCUGGGUUUAGAACGUCGUGAGACAGUUCGGUCCCUAUCUGCCGUGGGCGCUGGAGAACUGAGGGGGGCUGCUCCUAGUACGAGAGGACCGGAGUGGACGCAUCACUGGUGUUCGGGUUGUCAUGCCAAUGGCACUGCCCGGUAGCUAAAUGCGGAAGAGAUAAGUGCUGAAAGCAUCUAAGCACGAAACUUGCCCCGAGAUGAGUUCUCCCUGACCAUUUAAGGGUCCUGAAGGAACGUUGAAGACGACGACGUUGAUAGGCCGGGUGUGUAAGCGCAGCGAUGCGUUGAGCUAACCGGUACUAAUGAACCGUGAGGCUUAACCUU